UGGCAGUGAUGAAAUUGGUAUCAUUGUAAUUUAUGAAAACGAAUGAUUACUCGUAUCUCUACUGCCUUCCUUAUGAGGCU